UGGGUAGGGGAGCGUUCUGUAAGCCUGUGAAGGUGGCCUGUGAGGGUUGCUGGAGGUAUCAGAAGUGCGAAUGCUGACAUAAGUAACGAUAAAGCGGGUGAAAAGCCCGCUCGCCGGAAGACCAAGGGUUCCUGUCCAACGUUAAUCGGGGCAGGGUGAGUCGACCCCUAAGGCGAGGCCGAAAGGCGUAGUCGAUGGGAAACGGGUUAAUAUUCCCGUACUUGGUGUUACUGCGAAGGGGGGACGGAGAAGGCUAUGUUGGCCGGGCGACGGUUGUCCCGGUUUAAGCGUGUAGGCUGGUUUUCCAGGCAAAUCCGGAAAAUCAAGGCUGAGGCGUGAUGACGAGGCACUACGGUGCUGAAGCAACAAAUGCCCUGCUUCCAGGAAAAGCCUCUAAGCAUCAGGUAACAUCAAAUCGUACCCCAAACCGACACAGGUGGUCAGGUAGAGAAUACCAAGGCGCUUGAGAGAACUCGGGUGAAGGAACUAGGCAAAAUGGUGCCGUAACUUCGGGAGAAGGCACGCUGACACGUAGGUGAAGUGAUUUACUCAUGGAGCUGAAGUCAGUCGAAGAUACCAGCUGGCUGCAACUGUUUAUUAAAAACACAGCACUGUGCAAACACGAAAGUGGACGUAUACGGUGUGACGCCUGCCCGGUGCCGGAAGGUUAAUUGAUGGGGUCAGCGCAAGCGAAGCUCCUGAUCGAAGCCCCGGUAAACGGCGGCCGUAACUAUAACGGUCCUAAGGUAGCGAAAUUCCUUGUCGGGUAAGUUCCGACCUGCACGAAUGGCGUAAUGAUGGCCAGGCUGUCUCCACCCGAGACUCAGUGAAAUUGAACUCGCUGUGAAGAUGCAGUGUACCCGCGGCAAGACGGAAAGACCCCGUGAACCUUUACUAUAGCUUGACACUGAACAUUGAGCCUUGAUGUGUAGGAUAGGUGGGAGGCUUUGAAGUGUGGACGCCAGUCUGCAUGGAGCCGACCUUGAAAUACCACCCUUUAAUGUUUGAUGUUCUAACGUGGACCCGUUACCCGGGUUGCGGACAGUGUCUGGUGGGUAGUUUGACUGGGGCGGUCUCCUCCUAAAGAGUAACGGAGGAGCACGAAGGUUGGCUAAUCCUGGUCGGACAUCAGGAGGUUAGUGCAAUGGCAUAAGCCAGCUUGACUGCGAGCGUGACGGCGCGAGCAGGUGCGAAAGCAGGUCAUAGUGAUCCGGUGGUUCUGAAUGGAAGGGCCAUCGCUCAACGGAUAAAAGGUACUCCGGGGAUAACAGGCUGAUACCGCCCAAGAGUUCAUAUCGACGGCGGUGUUUGGCACCUCGAUGUCGGCUCAUCACAUCCUGGGGCUGAAGUAGGUCCCAAGGGUAUGGCUGUUCGCCAUUUAAAGUGGUACGCGAGCUGGGUUUAGAACGUCGUGAGACAGUUCGGUCCCUAUCUGCCGUGGGCGCUGGAGAACUGAGGGGGGCUGCUCCUAGUACGAGAGGACCGGAGUGGACGCAUCACUGGUGUUCGGGUUGUCAUGCCAAUGGCACUGCCCGGUAGCUAAAUGCGGAAGAGAUAAGUGCUGAAAGCAUCUAAGCACGAAACUUGCCCCGAGAUGAGUUCU
rnacentral:rRNA from 1 species